ACUGGUGGCAUUGUAGAUGGAGUACUCUAACUGGUGGCAUUGUAGUUGGAGUACUCUAUCUACAAUGUCACCAGUUAGAGUACUAUAACUACAGUGCCACCAGUUAGAGUACUCCAUCUACAAUGCCACCAGU